ACUCAAUGGGUUAAUAAUGUCUGUUCCCUCGGGGAAAUAGUUUUGUUUCCCUCGAAUCUCAAUUUAUGUUUGAGACUCUCGGGAAAGCAAAACAAACUAUUUCCCUCGGGAGCAGAUAUUAAGUGUAUAUUAUUACUAACAUCAAAUGUUGUCUGUACAUAAGUCCCUCCCUCCCCGUAAUUAAGCCCUCCCAUGGGUAAACAGUACUUUUGGCUUCAUCCGUUGUCCUUGUUUAAUAAAAUUGACUUAAAAUUGUUACAACACCAAGUAAUGAUAAAUUAUUGUUAAUAAUUUUUUUAUUUUUUUUGUGCAUUUUUUCCUU